GGAAGCGUGGCAGAGCGGUCUAAUGCACUCGCCUUGAAAGCGAGCGUGCCGAGAGGCACCGUGGGUUCGAAUCCCUCCGCUUCCGCCA
rnacentral:tRNA from 1 species